AUUGAACGCCGGCGGCAGGCUUAACACAUGCAAGUCGAGCGGGGAAAGGUAGCUUGCUACCUGACCUAGCGGCGGACGAGUGAGUAAUGCUUAGGAAUCUGCCUAUUAGUGGGGGACAACAUUCCGAAAGGAAUGCUAAUACCGCAUACGCCCUACGGGGAAAAGCAGGGGAUCUUCGGACCUUGCGCUAAUAGAUGAGCCUAAGUCGGAUUAGCGAGUUGGUGGGGUAAAGGCCUACCAAGGCGACGAUCUGUAGCGGGUCUGAGGGGAUGAUCCGCCACACUGGGACUGAGACACGGCCCAGACUCCUACGGGAGGCAGCAGUGGGGAAUAUUGGACAAUGGGCGGAAGCCUGAUCCAGCCAUGCCGCGUGUGUGAAGAAGGCCUUUUGGUUGUAAAGCACUUUAAGCGAGGAGGAGGCUACCUGGAUUAAUACUCUAGGAUAGUGGACGUUACUCGCAGAAUAAGCACCGGCUAACUCUGUGCCAGCAGCCGCCGUAACAC
rnacentral:rRNA from 1 species